rnacentral:rRNA from 1 species
CCUANGGGGGGCUGCAGUCGAGAAUCAUUCGCAAUGGGCGAAAGCCUGACGAUGCGACGCCGUGUGAACGAUGAAGGCCUUCGGGUUGUAAAGUUCUUUCGCUUGCGAACAAGAGAGGUUGAUGAAUAAUCAGCCAAUUUGAGGGUAGUAGGUAAAGAAGCACCGGCUAACUCCGUGCCAGCAGCUGCGGUAAUACGGAGGGUGCAAGCAUUAAUCGGAAUUAUUGGGCGUAAAGGGCGCGUAGGCGGUUUGGUAAGUCAGAUGUGAAAUUCCGGAGCUCAACUUCGGAGAUGCAUUUGAAACUACCUUUCUAGAGGAUUGACGGAGAAAACGGAAUUCCACGUGUAGCGGUGAAAUGCGUAGAUAUGUGGAAGAACACCGGUGGCGAAAGCGGUUUUCUAGUUUAUUCCUGACGCUAAGGCGCGAGAGCUAGGGGAGCAAACAGGAUUAGAUACCCCUNUANUC